ACGCUCGACACCUACGAGGCAGCAGUGGGGAAUAUUGCACAAUGGGGGAAACCCUGAUGCAGCGACGCCGCGUGGAGGAAGAAGGUCUUCGGAUUGUAAACUCCUGUUGUUGGGGAAAAAGAGGAUGGUACCCAACAAGGAAGUGACGGCUAACUACGUGCCAACAGCCGCGGUAAUACUGAGCGGGCGUGGCAAGGC
rnacentral:rRNA from 1 species